AGAGUUUGAUCCUGGCUCAGGAUAAACGCUGGCGGCGCACAUAAGACAUGCAAGUCGAACGAACUUAACCAUUAGUUUACUAUUGGAGCGGUUAGUGGCGGACUGGUGAGUAACACGUAAGCAACCUGCCUAUCAGAGGGGAACAACAGUUAGAAAUGACUGCUAAUACCGCAUAUGCCUUAGAAUCACAUGGUUCAAAAGGGAAAGGAGCAAUCCGCUGAUAGAUGGGCUUGCGUCUGAUUAGCUAGUUGGUGGGGUAACGGCCUACCAAGGCGACGAUCAGUAGCCGAACUGAGAGGUUGAACGGCCACAUUGGGACUGAGAUACGGCCCAGACUCCUACGGGAGGCAGCAGUCGGGAAUAUUGCGCAAUGGAGGAAACUCUGACGCAGUGACGCCGCGUGCAGGAAGAAGGUUUUCGGAUUGUAAACUGCUUUAGACAGGGAAGAAACAAGACAGUACCUGUAGAAUAAGCUCCGGCUAACUACGUGCCAGCAGCCGCGGUAAUACGUAGGGAGCAAGCGUUAUCCGGAUUUAUUGGGUGUAAAGGGUGCGUAGACGGGAAAACAAGUUAGUUGUGAAAUCCCUCGGCUUAACUGAGGAACUGCAACUAAAACUAUUUUUCUUGAGUGCUGGAGAGGAAAGUGGAAUUCCUAGUGUAGCGGUGAAAUGCGUAGAUAUUAGGAGGAACACCAGUGGCGAAGGCGACUUUCUGGACAGAAACUGACGUUGAGGCACGAAAGUGUGGGGAGCAAACAGGAUUAGAUACCCUGGUAGUCCACACCGUAAACGAUGGAUACUAGGUGUAGGGGAUAUUAAAAUUCUCUGUGCCGCCGCUAACGCAAUAAGUAUCCCACCUGGGGAGUACGGCCGCAAGGUUGAAACUCAAAGGAAUUGACGGGGGCCCG
rnacentral:rRNA from 1 species